rnacentral:rRNA from 1 species
UUUGAUCCUGGCUCAGAACGAACGCUGGCGGCAGGCUUAACACAUGCAAGUCGAACGAGCUCUUCGGAGCUAGUGGCAGACGGGUGAGUAACGCGUGGGAAUCUACCCAGUUCUCUGGAAUAACUGAUGGAAACGUCAGCUAAUACCGGAUACGCCCUUUUGGGGAAAGAUUUAUCGGGAUUGGAUGAGCCCGCGUAAGAUUAGCUAGUUGGUGGGGUAACGGNNUACCAAGGCGACGAUCUUUAGCUGGUCUGANNGGAUGAUCAGCCACACUGGGACUGAGACACGGCCCAGACUCUACGGGAGGCAGCAGUGGGGAAUAUUGGACAAUGGGGGCAACCCUGAUCCAGCCAUGCCGCGUGAGUGAUGAAGGCCUUAGGGUUGUAAAGCUCUUUCACCGGUGAAGAUAAUGACGGUAACCGGAGAAGAAGCCCCGGCUAACUUCGUGCCAGCAGCCGCGGUAAUACGAAGGGGGCUAGCGUUGUUCGGAAUUACUGGGCGUAAAGCGCACGUAGGCGGAUAUUUAAGUCAGGGGUGAAAUCCCGGAGCUCAACUCCGGAACUGCCUUUGAUACUGGAUAUCUAGAGACCGAGAGAGGUAAGUGGAACUCCUAGUGUAGAGGUGGAAUUCGUAGAUAUUAGGAAGAACACCAGUGGCGAAGGCGGCUUACUGGCUCGGAACUGACGCUGAGGUSG